UUUAAACUUAAUGUUUAAUAAUUUGGAAGAGAACAAACCGUUGAACUCCACUUGUGUCUGUCACAUAUCACAUUCCAGCCUUCUGUCUAAUCCCCUUAUAUGGCUAUAAAACUGCAAACAAGCCUUGAUUCCUCAGUCACCUAUAGAGGCUCCCCUUUCAGCCUUAACUCCAGCUUCAGGCUGCUCAGGAUCAAAGCCUCUGCUGGCUUUUUUCCCCCUAGAAAUCUUCUUUCUCUUUGGUCUCUUCCUCUGAGCAACCAAGAAGAAGAGCAACAGCCUGCAUCCACGUCUUCACUCAAAUCAGAAUAUUUUCUUCCCAAGAGGAAAUAUGCAAAAUACUCUUCUGCUUGAAAAGAAUAAUAGGUUAAGAUCAAAGUUAAGUUCACUGCUAGUGUGUAGAAUAGCAACCCUGUUGGCCAGAGUUUGAAGUGGCGUUACUAUGUGGCGGAUGUACAUGAAGUCUAAAGGAACAAGGGUAGUGGUGCACUGUGACCACGAACAACACGGAGCAACGGCAUCUGAAAGGCAGGAGGAGAGGCAGAAAGAUUAUUUAAAGAAACAGUGAAUAGAAGGCUCCAGUUUGCUCUUAGUUCCUGGUCGACUUUGAUGAGGACGGCAUAAGCAGCAGGAAUGCGGUCUCGAAGGCCUGAGGCCGCAUUUCCCCUCAUUUCCGCGAGGAUCAACCCUGAGAAGUGGAAGCUCUUCACAGUCAGAGGCAUCUGGCAGGAGCAGAGGGACUCAGGCGAACCAAGAUUUCUGUUUGGAUACCGAUUAAUUCAGUCUCCCCGUCCCCAGAUUCCAGUGUCAAUACCUCCUGCCACUUUCUGAAUCCUGAGAGGAGGACUUACUUUUGGAAUCAGAAAAAAAAAAAUCACUGCUUAAAGGCUUCUCUUUUUUGAACCGUGUU
rnacentral:lncRNA from 1 species